rnacentral:rRNA from 1 species
AUUGAACGCUGGGGGCAGGCCUAACACAUGCAAGUCGAGCGGCAGCGGAAAGUAGCUUGCUACUUUGCCGGCGAGCGGCGGAACGGGUGAGUAAUGUCUGGGAAACUGCCUGAUGGAGGGGGAUAACUACUGGAAACGGUAGCUAAUACCGCAUGACCUCGAAAGAGCAAAGUGGGGGAUCUUCGGACCUCACGCCAUCGGAUGUGCCCAGAUGGGAUUAGCUAGUAGGUGAGGUAAUGGCUCACCUAGGCGACGAUCCCUAGCUGGUCUGAGAGGAUGACCAGCCACACUGGAACUGAGACACGGUCCAGACUCCUACGGGAGGCAGCAGUGGGGAAUAUUGCACAAUGGGCGCAAGCCUGAUGCAGCCAUGCCGCGUGUGUGAAGAAGGCCUUAGGGUUGUAAAGCACUUUCAGCGAGGAGGAAGGCAUCAUACUUAAUACGUGUGGUGAUUGACGUUACUCGCAGAAGAAGCACCGGCUAACUCCGUGCCAGCAGCCGCGGUAAUACGGAGGGUGCAAGCGUUAAUCGGAAUUACUGGGCGUAAAGCGCACGCAGGCGGUUUGUUAAGUCAGAUGUGAAAUCCCCGCGCUUAACGUGGGAACUGCAUUUGAAACUGGCAAGCUAGAGUCUUGUAGAGGGGGGUAGAAUUCCAGGUGUAGCGGUGAAAUGCGUAGAGAUCUGGAGGAAUACCGGUGGCGAAGGCGGCCCCCUGGACAAAGACUGACGCUCAGGUGCGAAAGCGUGGGGAGCAAACAGG